ACGAACGCUGGCGGCAUGCCUAAUACAUGCAAGUCGAGCGAACAGAUGAAGUGCUUGCACUUCUGACGUUAGCGGCGAACGGGUGAGUAACACGUAAGGAAUCUACCUAUAAGCGGGGAUAACAUUCGGAAACGGGUGCUAAUACCGCAUAAUAUCUUCUUCCGCAUGGAAGAAGAUUGAAAGACGGCUCUGCUGUCACUUAUAGAUGACCUUGCGGUGCAUUAGUUAGUUGGUGGGGUAAUGGCCUACCAAGACGAUGAUGCAUAGCCGACCUGAGAGGGUGAUCGGCCACAUUGGGACUGAGACACGGCCCAAACUCCUACGGGAGGCAGCAGUAGGGAAUCUUCCGCAAUGGGCGAAAGCCUGACGGAGCAAUGCCGCGUGAGUGAAGAAGGCCUUCGGGUCGUAAAACUCUGUUAUAAGAGAAGAACAAAUUGUAGAGUAACUGCUACAGUCUUGACGGUAUCUUAUCAGAAAGCCACGGCUAACUACGUG
rnacentral:rRNA from 1 species